AUUGAACGCUGGCGGCAGGCUUAACACAUGCAAGUCGAGCGAGCGGCGGACGGGUGAGUAAUGUCUGGGAAACUGCCUGAUGGAGGGGGAUAACUACUGGAAACGGUAGCUAAUACCGCAUACCAUCAGAUGUGCCCAGAUGGGAUUAGCUAGUAGGUGGGGUAAUGGCUCACCUAGGCGACGAUCCCUAGCUGGUCUGAGAGGAUGACCGGCCACACUGGAACUGAGACACGGGCCAGACUCCUAUGGGAGGCGGCAGUGGGGAAUUGUGCACAAUGGACGCAAGCCGGAUGCAGCAAUGCCGAGUGAGUGAAGAAGGCCUUCGGUUUGUAAAACACUUUCAGUGAAGAGGCGUUAUUUAAAGAAGAAGCACCGGCUAAACCCGUGCCAGCCGCCGCGGUAAUAC
rnacentral:rRNA from 1 species